UACGAAGGGGGCUAGCGUUGCUCGGAAUCACUGGGCGUAAAGCGCACGUAGGCGGCUUACUAAGUCAGGGGUGAAAUCCUGGAGCUCAACUCCAGAACUGCCUUUGAUACUGGUGAGCUUGAGUCCGGAAGAGGUGAGUGGAACUGCGAGUGUAGAGGUGAAAUUCGUAGAUAUUCGCAAGAACACCAGUGGCGAAGGCGGCUCUCUGGGACGGUACUGACGCUGAGACGCGAAAGCGUGGGGAGCAAACAGG
rnacentral:rRNA from 1 species